CGCGAGCUGGGUUUAGAACGUCGUGAGACAGUUCGGUCCCUAUCUGCCGUGGGCGUUGGAAGAUUGAAGGGGGCUGCUCCUAGUACGAGAGGACCGGAGUGGACGAACCUCUGGUGUUCGGGUUGUGUCGCCAGACGCAUUGCCCGGUAGCUAAGUUCGGAAUCGAUAACCGCUGAAAGCAUCUAAGCGGGAAGCGAGCCCUGAGAUGAGUCUUCCCUGAUACUUUAAGUAUCCUAAAGGGUUGUCGGAGACUACGACGUUGAUAGGUCAGGUGUGUAAGUGCUGUGAGGCAUUGAGCUAACUGAUACUAAUUGCCCGUGAGGCUUAACCAUACAACACCCAAGGGGUUU
rnacentral:rRNA from 1 species